GCGGGUGUAGCUCAGGGGUAGAGCGAGACGUUGCCAACGUCUAGGUCGACGGUUCAAUUCCGUUCACCCGCUCCA
rnacentral:tRNA from 3 species